UCUUUGAAAGGCAAUGGGAUGAAGCCACUGCCAAUGAAGCAGGUGUUAAUGCUAAUGCUGCUGCCAAUGCCAUGGCCAAUGAAAAGAGAAUGAUUUGUGAUUCUUUGAGUUCGAAAAAAGCAUUACAAGAACAACUCAAAAGUAACUGGUGAGAAGAUUGAAGAAUUAACCAAAUCACUAACGGGAGUGCGGCCAAAACUUAGGAAAGUUGAGAAAGAAUUGAAGGCCAUUGAAAGGGAUAUAAAAUGCUUGAAGGAGUAAUUACCAUUGAUGGAUCAUAGGAAAGAUGAAGCGAACCGAUGCAUUCUUAAACUGAGAAAAAACAACAGAGUGGUGAGGUACAAGAAAAUGUGAUGACAGGAAGGUGUCUGAAAUUAAUUGCUUAGGCCCCAAGUCUCAAAUAAGCUCUUUCGUCAAGGAUCGGCAGAGGUUGAAGAACGUCGAAUUCUUCAUCUUCCUUGAAUCUGUAAAUUGAAAUGGUUCAUAUUAAUUAGUUCUUAAAGUUACCUUGUGUCAGUACUGUAAGUAAUUGUACUAUUAGACCGUCGGCAUUUAUGCACCAAGAUUCACAGUUGUAUUGUAGCAACAUUGGUUGAAGAAAUAUUCUGCCUAC